CCUUAUAUUUUGAGAUCUUUCUUAGGCAUAUUAAUGGGUUCCAUUGACAAGGAAGUAGAGGUUGAGAUAGCCCCUUUUGUCAGAAUUUACAAGGAUGGCUCUGUGGAACGACUAAUGGGAGCUCCAAUCGUGCCUCCGUCAUCUCAAGACCCAGAAACCGGUGUCUCAUCCAAGGACAUCACCAUCUCACAGAACCCUCCCAUCUCAGCAAGACUCUACCUUCCAAAGCUCACUGAACCCACCCAGCAGGUACUCCCUAUCUUGGUCUACUUCCAUGGUGGAGGCUUCUGCAUAGAUUCUGCCUUCUCCUUAAACGAAACCAAGUACAUGAACAGCUUGAUUUCUCAAGCCAAAGUCGUUGCUAUCUCAGUAGAGUACAGGUUAGCCCCCGAACAUCUUCUCCCGAUUGCUUAUGAAGACUGUUGGGCUGCCCUUCAAUGGGUUGCAUCACACUCUAUCGAAAAGGGAAUCAAUAAUAAAGACCCAUGGAUAUCAAAUUAUGGUGAUCUUGGGAGACUUUAUAUUGGUGGUGAUAGCGCAGGGGCCAAUAUUGCUCACAAUAUACUCAUGCGAGCUAGCACUGAAGCCUUGCCUGGAGAUGUCAAGAUUUUCGGUGCUUAUCUCACCCACCCUUUCUUCUGGGGCGCAGAACCAGUAGGGUCAGAAUAUAGAGUAGAACGCGAGAAGCAGAUAACAUACACGCUUUGGGCUAUGGUAUAUCCGUCGGCUCCCGGUGGCAUUGACAAUCCAAUGAUGAAUCCGGUUGCUUCAGGAGCUCCAAACUUGGGUGGACUUGGGUGUUCCCAGUUGCUAGUCAGUGUUGCUGAAAAGGAUUUGUUGAGGGAUAGGGGUAUUUUGUACCAUAAAGCAGUGAAGGAAAGUGGAUGGAAAGGAGAAGUGGAACUCAUUGAUGUAGAGGGAGAAGGUCAUGCUUUCCAUAUUCUGAAUUGUGAGACCGAGAGUGCUAAGAAUUUGAUCAAACGCUUGGCUUCUUUUCUGCUAAAGUAACAGAUUCUUGGGCUAUUCGGAGGCAGGGUAUGUCAACAAAUAAGCAUAGACGCUAGACAAUUUCCCGUUUUCUUUAUAUUAUACGUGCCUGUUU
rnacentral:misc_RNA from 1 species